rnacentral:misc_RNA from 2 species
AGCAGCCGCGGUAAUUCCAGCUCCAAUAGCGUAUAUUAAAGUUGUUGCAGUUAAAAAGCUCGUAGUUGAAUUUCGGGAUCAGUUGGUCGGUCGUGCCUCGGUACGUACUGGUCAAAUUGAUUCCUACCUUCUGACGAACCACGAUGUCAUUAAUUUGGUGUCGUGGGAAAUCAGGACUGUUACUUUGAAAAAAUUAGAGUGUUUAAAGCAGGCUCGCGCUUGAAUACAUUAGCAUGGAAUAAUGAAAUAGGACGUUUGAUUCUAUUUUGUUGGUUUCUAGGAUCGACGUAAUGAUUAAUAGGGAUAGUUGGGGGCAUUAGUAUUCAAUUGUCAGAGGUGAAAUUCUUGGAUUUAUUGAAGACUAACUACUGCGAAAGCAUUUGCCAAGGAUGUUUUCAUUAAUCAAGAACGAAAGUUAGGGGAUCGAAGACGAUCAGAUACCGUCGUAGUCUUAACCAUAAACUAUGCCGACUAGGGAUCGGAUGAUGUUAAUUUUUUAAUGACUCAUUCGGCGCCUUAC